AUUGAACGCUGGCGGCAUGCCUUACACAUGCAAGUCGAACGGCAGCACGGGUGCUUGCACCUGGUGGCGAGUGGCGAACGGGUGAGUAAUACAUCGGAACGUACCUUAUCGUGGGGGAUAACGCAGCGAAAGCUGUGCUAAUACCGCAUACGCCCUGAGGGGGAAAGCGGGGGAUCGAAAGACCUCGCGCGAUUAGAGCGGCCGAUGCCUGAUUAGCUUGUUGGUGGGGUAAAAGCCACCAAGGCGACGAUCAGUAGCUGGUCUGAGAGGACGAUCAGCCACACUGGGACUGAGACACGGCCCAGACUCCUACGGGAGGCAGCAGUGGGGAAUUUUGGGACAAUGGGCGAAAGCCUGAUCCAGCCAUGCCGCGUGCAGGAUGAAGGCC
rnacentral:rRNA from 1 species